UACAGAGGGGGCAAGCGUUGUUCGGAAUUACUGGGCGUAAAGGGCGCGUAGGUGGCCUUCUAAGUUGAACGUGAAAUCCCUGGGCUCAACCCAGGAACUGCGUCCAAGACUGGGAGGCUUGAAUCCGGGAGAGGGAUGCGGAAUUCCAGGUGUAGCGGUGAAAUGCGUAGAUAUCGGGAGGAACACCGAAGGCGAAGGCAGCUCGCUGGGGAGUCACUGACGCUCGGGUGCGAAAGCUAGGGGAGCGAACGGG
rnacentral:rRNA from 1 species